rnacentral:rRNA from 1 species
UACGGGGGGAGCAAGCGUUGUUCGGAUUUACUGGGCGUAAAGAGCUCGUAGGCGGUGUGUCGCGUCGGCCGUGAAAACCUGCAGCUUAACUGUGGGCUUGCGGUCGAUACGGGCAUGACUGGAGUUCGGCAGGGGAGACUGGAAUUCCUGGUGUAGCGGUGAAAUGCGCAGAUAUCAGGAGGAACACCCGUAGCGAAGGCGGCACUCUGGGCCGAUACUGACACUGAGGAGCGAAAGCGUGGGGAGCGAACAGG